UACGAAGGGGGCUAGCGUUGUUCGGAUUUACUGGGCGUAAAGCGCACGUAGGCGGAUCGUUAAGUCGGGGGUGAAAUCCUGGAGCUCAACUCCAGAACUGCCUUCGAUACUGGCGAUCUUGAGUCCGGAAGAGGUGAGUGGAACUCCUAGUGUAGAGGUGGAAUUCGUAGAUAUUAGGAAGAACACCAGUGGCGAAGGCGGCUCACUGGUCCGGUACUGACGCUGAGGUGCGAAAAGCGUGGGGAGCAAACAGG
rnacentral:rRNA from 1 species